UGGGCUGGGUUAGCUCGACCCGUGUACUGGGUGGGCUGGAUGGCACGGUUGCGGUGCAGGAAGGCGGACCACAAGUGGUCGGUGGGUUGAUGUGGUUUCGACCAGCGGC
rnacentral:snoRNA from 1 species